AUAUGGAUGAAGGAGCUCUCUUCAGUUCACUUCGAGGCAGUGAAAGGCUGACACUCAGCUGCUGACUCGUUGGUUCAAGAGCUCAUCAAUGGAAAAUGUAGAAUCAUGAUGUGUUUCUGAUCCAACGAAGCAGGAGCUGCGUUUAGUCAUGGCUGUCACGUCUUGGACUGAAGGGAGCUCCCCCUUUCCACAAU
rfam:Citrus clementina cultivar Clemenules unplaced genomic scaffold scaffold_2, whole genome shotgun sequence.